GUGCUUGCUUCGGCAGCACAUAUACUAAAAUUGGAACAAUACAGAGAUUAGCAUGGCCGCUGCGCAAGGAUGACACGCAAAUUCGUCAAGCGCUCCAUAUUUUU
ensembl:snRNA U6 U6 spliceosomal RNA